rnacentral:rRNA from 1 species
GAUGAACGCUGACAGCAUGCUUAACACAUGCAAGUCAACUUGAACUUCGGUUUGGGUGGCGGACGGGUGAGUAACGCGUAAAGAACUUGCCUCACAGUUAGGGACAACAUUUGGAAACGAAUGCUAAUACCUGAUAUUAUGAUUUUAGGGCAUCCUAGAAUUAUGAAAGCUAUCUGCGCUGUGAGAGAGCUUUGCGUCCCAUUAGCUAGUUGGAGAGGUAACGGAUCACCAAGGCGAUGAUGGGUAGCCGGCCUGAGAGGGUGAACGGCCACAAGGGGACUGAGACACGGCCCUUACUCCUACGGGAGGCAGCAGUGGGGAAUAUUGGACAAGGGACCAAGAGUCUGAUCCAGCAAUUCUGUGUGCACGAUGAAGUUUUUCGGAAUGUAAAGUGCUUUCAGUUGGGAAGAAAAAAAUGACGGUACCAACAGAAGAAGUGACGGCUAAAUACGUG